rnacentral:rRNA from 1 species
GACAGAGGUGCCAAGCGUUAGGCGGAAUCACUGGGCUUAAAGCGUGUGUAGGCGGGUGCCUAAGUACCUUGUGAAAUCCCACGGCUCAACCGUGGAACUGCUCGGUAUACUGGGUGCCUUGAGCCACUUGGGGGCUACCGGAACAAAUGGUGGAGCGGUGAAAUGCGUAGAUAUCAUUUGGAACGCCAAUGGUGAAAACAGGUAGCUGGGAGUGUGCUGACGCUGAGACACGAAAGCCAGGGGAGCGAACGGG